rnacentral:misc_RNA from 1 species
AAAGACCUUGAUUCCUUGACUUCGCGUCUCGUAUCCAGGUUGCCGUAGACUUCACCUUUUGUGGUUGGGAGUACGAAUUGUUUUCUCGAACGGUUUCGGGUUGGCGUAUCCCCGCGUGUCUGGCCCACCGCGGAACAACCUCACAAAAAAACCCUACCGAUGCGCCGGAUCCUAGCGGGUUCAGGUGUCGGAAACCCCGAACAACUGUUAGCAAUGGAUAUCUUGGCUCUC